GGGAUCGGGAGGGAAGGUGGGGACUUAGAUCCUCCUGACACAGAGUUGAGAAUGAAAAAUGUUAAAACACUUGGAUAUGCAGGAAGUAGCAGGCCAGAGAGGACUCGAAGAUCCUUAGAAGGAGCCAUAGACGGAACCAUAGGAGGCGCCCAGGAGCUAUGGGCUCCAGAAGUUUCCUCCUAAACUGUGGUCUCAGCGAGGCUCAUUGACACUCACCGGGGUUUCGACAUUCUCCCUGGCUAGGGCCUGUUCUGGAAAUAGACCAAGGGGGAGAUGGAGCCCCUGGCCGUGGGACAUCCAAUCUGAUGGUGAUGAGAAGGCUGCUCAGGACCGAGGCUGAGACGGGCGACCAGGACGGGAUUGUAUGGCUGCAGGAGGCUACACAGUCCCAGGAGGCUGCUUCUAAGAGGCCCACGUGGCCUGCAUGGGGAUGCGCCUGGCUGUCCAGCAUGUGGUCAUUUGAAUUGUACAUGUUUCACUGGGAUGCCUACAGAAAAGUAGACAGAAGAUGUGGAAAAAGUUUUUGAAAUGUUGCAAACUUAGCUACUUUUAAAAUAAAAAAAAUAGCUUUAUAAUUAUAAAAGCAAUAUGUAAAUCUUAAAAUAAUUUGCUACAUUCUAGUAAGCAUCUUAUGAUCUCUAUGUGCCCUAUAACAUUAUGUUGUAUAGUUUAAAUAUAUACAAUAAAAUCUAUUUUAAAAAAUA
rnacentral:lncRNA from 1 species